rnacentral:rRNA from 1 species
ACGUAGGGCGCAAGCGUUGUCCGGAAUUAUUGGGCGUAAAGAGCUCGUAGGCGGUUUGUCGCGUCUGCUGUGAAAGCCCGGGGCUCAACCCCGGGUCUGCAGUGGGUACGGGCAGACUGGAGUGCAGUAGGGGAGACUGGAAUUCCUGGUGUAGCGGUGAAAUGCGUAGAUAUCGAGAGGAACACCUGAGGUGAAGACGGGUUGCUGGGCCGACACUGACGCUGAGGCGCGAAAGCCAGGGUAGCAAACGGGA